CCUACGGGAGGCAGCAGUGGGGGAUAUUGCACAAUGGGGGAAACCCUGAUGCAGCGACGCCGCGUGUGGGAAGACGGUCCUCUGGAUUGUAAACCACUGUCCCCAGGGACGAAAAUGACGGUACCUGGGAAGGAAGCUCCGGCUAACUACGUGCCAGCAGCCGCGGUAAUACGUAGGGAGCGAGCGUUGUCCGGAAUUACUGGGUGUAAAGGGUGCGCAGGCGGAAGAUCAAGUCAGCGGUAAAAUUGAGAGGCUCAACCUCUUCGAGCCGUUGAAACUGGUUUUCUUGAGUGAGUGAGAAGUAUGCGGAAUGCGUGGUGUAGCGGUGAAAUGCAUAGAUAUCACGCAGAACUCCGAUUGCGAAGGCAGCAUACCGGCGCUCAACUGACGCUCAUGCACGAAAGUGUGGGUAUCGAACAGGAUUAGAUACCCGGGUAGUC
rnacentral:rRNA from 1 species